GUCUGGGUGGUGGAAUCGGUAGACACAGGGCACUUAAAAUGCCCCGGCGCGAGCCGUGCGGGUUCGAGUCCCGCCCCAGGCA
rnacentral:tRNA from 1 species